CUCUGCUCUCUGCCUGAGGUUCAGCUGCCAGCCAAGAACAGAAGCUCCUGGGGCUGCCUCUGGCUGUCGCUUCUGCUCAGAUGUGGGGCUACUCGUUUCCCUUGCCUGAUUGAGUCCCCCCUCCUAUCAUCCCAAUGACAAACAGGAAGAGAAGCAGCAAACCGGCAGCCCCACAGAGGAAGAAAAAAAGCUGCCAUUGAGAUCCCCAGCACACCCAGUUCCCGUUUAUAGGGGGCUCCACAGACAUCUCCUCUAAGGGAUUCCAGACAAAUGGCUGCACGGCUAUUUUCCCAGAAAGCAAGCAACUCUGAGCUACCCAGCUCAGUCCCUGCACCUCUUGGCUCACAUGGCUGCUGGUCUGUUAAAGCGGUUUCCCAAAUGUGUUAGGUUAGCAACACCCAGAAUUCCCAGCCGCCUGAUACCCUGGAAUUCGGAGGUGCACAGCUCAAGGAAUGGCCGAUCACCCAGCAGCAGGAAGAGGCCGAGGGUCACCCAGGCCGAGACCCUCCUUGGCAGGAGGAACAGCCUGCCCAGAUUUCCUGUCCAGUAACCAGAACCCAGGAGACAUCACAGAUGGACACAAGAUCUGUACCGGAGCUGCCUUCAUCAAUCCGCUGCUCACCUGAGUUCCAGCUGUUUGCGCUUCUGCACCUCUUGGUUGUGCAGCUCCUCCAUGCGCCUGAGCUCCUCCUGGCGCCUCAUCAAAUCUGG